AAAAGGAACAACUCCUAUGGCUCCUACAACUGGAAUAUGACUCAGUAAACAGGCAGCCCAGAUGUUCAGAGUCCAGCUGUGGGUGUCGGUGAAGGUUCAGACGUGUCAGCAGCCUGCCGGUACGUGGCGAGGAAGAUCCGGGCUGCGGCGCGAGGAGAGGAGCAGCCGGAGAAGCCGAGCACCGCGGGAUGCAAGCAGGCUAAAUCUCGCAAGGGUGACAGGAUGAGCAGCGAACCCGCCCUGAUGACCCCGCCCACAGAGCAGGACGUCGACGUGCUGCCGAAGGAGAACUGCGGGUCCUGAAAGUAAGCCGAGAGCUGGAGGGCAGGGAGGUCCAAAAAGCAUCCCAAUCAGACGCCGUCCCAAACUGGCUCUGACCUCGACCUCUUUCUGCUUCCGGCUCUCGGCGCUCUUUCGGCUCCUCCUUCCUCACGUCUCAGAGCGUCAGCAGAGAGGAUGAAAGGCUGCUCACCAAUUCCCCGCUCGAGGACCUGAGCAGCCCUGAUGACCGUGCCGGUCUCUGCUGACGACGCUCUCACGCCAACCUCGCUUCUUUUUGUUGUUGCUUUAAUAAAAACCGUUUUAAACCUGAGCCGAGUGUUUGUGUCCCAGUGAGACGCCGCACAAACAAACACCAGCUGUCACAGCGAACCUUCAUGAUGC
ensembl:lncRNA